rnacentral:rRNA from 1 species
UACGUAGGGGGGAAGCGUUGUCCGGAUUUAUUGGGCGUAAAGAGCGUGUAGGCGGCCAGGUAGGUCCGUUGUGAAAACUCGAGGCUCAACCUCGAGACGUCGAUGGAAACCAUCUGGCUAGAGUCCGGAAGAGGAGAGUGGAAUUCCUGGUGUAGCGGUGAAAUGCGCAGAUAUCAGGAAGAACACCCGUGGCGAAGGCGGCUCUCUGGGACGGUACUUACGCUGAGACGCGAAAGCGUGGGGAGCGAACAGG